AGAAAAUACGAAGAGGAAAAAAUUGAAAGGAGCAAUCGGCUUAACAAAAAGAGGCACCAUGAGUCAAUUCAGUUGGAUAACGUAGUAGUUAACAGACAAAUUGCAAAGAAUACACCUAAAUACAAAAAAUUGGAUAAAUAUGAGCGUCAUGGUAAUUAUGUGAUAGACACAUCAAAUAAACGAAGAACGAAAUAUUAUAAAACACAAUUGAAACGCAAAUAUAAAUUCCAAAAUGAAUGAAGACAAAAUUUAAAUUUGAAAAAAAAAUGUUUAAAACUAAAUGUAUGAGUUAUAAAUCGAUUAAAGAAAUUUAUGUAGUAUGAAAAAAAAAAACGUUUAAAACUAAAUGUAUGAGUUAUAAAUCAAUUAAAGAAAUUUAUGUAAUAUGAGGAAAAAAAAUGUUUAAAACUAAAUGUAUGGGUUAUAAAUCUAUUAAAGAAAUUUAUGUAAUAUGAAUAAUUUGCAGAGACGCAAAUUUCCUAAGGGUGGAGGUGUUAUGUAUCCAGAUAUUCCCCACACUCUACACAUCAUAUUCCGUACGCUUCCCAACACUUAAUCUCUAUUUCUCCUUGUCUCCCAUUUCCUAUUGCAAUAAUUAUCAUGUCGCCCACUCCACCCGUUAUUCGCUUUAAGCACGCUUUGGGCAUUCUAGAGUAAUCUGAAGAAGUCAGUUGUACGUUUGCAAUUGUUGAAUAAAGAACUCGCUAAAUAAAUACAACCAAAAGAACUCAUUUUUAUACUUAUAACGGAAAGAACUCGUUUGAUACUUAACUAUAUAAAAAUCACGUGUCACGUUGUUUGAUUUCGAUGAACUCCUAAACUACUGAACCGAUUUUAAUGAAAUUUUUAACACUGUGUGCAGUUUGGUCCAACUUGAAAGAUAGGAUAGUUUAUAACUCUCCUUAUAGUCGCAUUAUUUAUUUAUUGCAAAUUAUUUGUUUAUUAUUAGCAAAGAGCUAUCCACCAGUUGGUGGCGCUAACAGUGCGGUAUGUUACAGUAGAUGGCGCUACAAACAUUAAAUGAAAAUGCGUUGUUUGAAGUUUAUAUUAUUUGUGGUAAAGUUAUACGAGUCUAUGACUUCUAAAAAAAAAUAAAAAUUGGGCGGGGCGAAGUUCGCCGGGUCAGGUACUAUAAUAUAUUAAUUUAUUUUUAUACGUUUACAUAAAAUGAUAUUAAUUGAUAUGAAUAUCAUUUUGCGAAAUUUUAUUAACUCAUGCAAAAUCGAUAACAUUAUUAUUAAAUUAUGCAAUUCUCAAGCAAUAUUUGUAGUUAAUGGGCACCAUUAAAUCGAUUCUUUCAAUAAAAUUAAGAAGAGCGUCUCUAUUAUCAUGAUGAUAAGGAAGAGAAUUUAAAUUACAGUCGGGCCUCAAUUAUCCAUGAUGGUUGGGACCACAAGCAUCACGAAAAAUCAAUUUUCACGGUUAAUCGAAUAACAAUUUUCAUUAUAGUUUUUCUUUUAAUAUAUUUAUUAUUUAAUAAGUGAAUAUUGGUGAACAUAUGUACACAUUUACAUUAAAAAAUAAAUAAUUCAAUAAGUUUAUGUUCACUUUAUUAGUAAUAAAUGAUAUCGGUAUUCUGCGUGUCACGAUUGUCUCAUGUCUCUAAUUGUCACAAUCGUAAUUUAGUGGUUCUGUUAGUCAGGAUGUCUCAUUUUGUUAUUCUGACAGAUACAGUAUAGUAGUAUACUGUAUAUUAUAAUAGUAUACUGUAUAGUCAUCUGUUGAUGUUCUAGACAUGGCAAAUCAACAACAUCCCAGAUAUUCACCACGCGCCAAAUCUUGGAAAAGACCUGUGAAAGGAGAUUACACACACACCACCUUUUCGUCGAUUUCAAAGCUGCUUUUGACAGCACGAAAAGGAGCUGCCUUUAUGCCGCGAUGUCUGAAUUUGGUAUCCCCGAAAAACUAAUACGGCUGUGUAAACUGACGUUGAGCAACACAAUAAGCUCUGUCAGAAUCGAGAAGGUCCUCUCCGAGCCAUGCCAUACCAAACGAGGUUUCAGACAAGGCGACUCCCUAUCGUGCGACUUCUUCAAUAUGCUGCUGGAGAAAAUUAUUCGAGCAAACAGCCAUCGCACCACUCGCGACUUGGCUCUCACGUCACUGUUGACAGUCAUAAUUUUGAAGUUGUAGAUAAUUUCGUCUAUUUAGGAACCAGUAUUAAUACCACCAACAAUGUUAGCCGGGAAAUCCAACGCAGGGUUACUCUUGCCAACAGGUGCUGCUUCGGACUGAGUAGGCAAUUGAAAAGUAAAGUCCUCUCUCGACGAAUAAAAACCAAACUCUAUAAGUCGCUCAUAAUUCCCGUCUUGCUAUAUGGUGCAGAGGCUUAGACGAUGACAACAACCGAUGAGUCGACGUUAAGAUUUUUCGAGAGAAAUUAAUUGAUUUUAUCACUUAUAAGAAUUAACAUAUGCGGACACAGCUUGAUAAGUACAUCUAUGCAUAAGUGCAUAUGACAAUCUCACGCAAAUAAUGCAAUCACAACAUACAUAUGUACUUAUGAACGUACACACGUAAAUAUGUCAACCGCAAAAACUACAACCAUUACAAAUAAUAUGACAGCCGAAUUGCCGACAUCAAAAUGGUAUGGUAAAUUACACGACAACAACAUUUUUAUUCAUGAACGCAAGCGCACAUUCAAAGAGCAAAAAUGACUCAUUCAUUAAACAAAACGGCAUACACCUCUCCCCAAGCAUUCUUUUGCCUACAAGCGGUUUCUCGCGAUGAGGGCAAAAGCUAAAAAUCAUAAAUUGAACAUAUUUCUGAUAUUUGUAUCGGAAGGGAAAAGUGACAACCAUGCCACAUUUUUAAAUAUAUUAGAAUAAAAUUGACAACGUAAUAUAUAUAUACAAGAAAUUUUGUAAAGAAAAUUCAAUAUUCCUCUGAAUUAUAUUUACAGUCAAUCCCGGUUAAGUAGUACUCUGCUUACGUUCCCUCUCUACUGUCUGUAUCUUGCUGCAUCUCACGUUUUGAUUUUUUGAAAUACAUAGAAGUUAUUACCACUCGCUUGAGUAUCCACACUCGCUUAUGCACGAAGAAUUAAUGGAUUUAAAAUAUUUUAAAAUUCUAAAAUAAUUUUACGCGGAUCGCAAAAAAAUGCGUCGAUAUGUAUGCGAGUUAACGCCAUGAAUAGUUAACAGCCCUUAUGCCUAAAAUAAACAAUAAUCACAUAAAUUCAUUAUUAAACGAAUGUGUCAAAUAUAUUAUUGACACAUCGCCAAUUAGGAAGCGGCCUUAGACUGUAAGUUAUGGCACGCUUUAAGUAUAAUUACUAUCGGCUGCUCUCAUUCUGCUUUUCGUUGUAUUGGCAAUUUUCACAGAAUACUUUUUGUACUCCUUUACUCUGCCGACGCACUUUUGCUAUUCCACGAUAUUUUCAGUCGAUGUUGCGACUGCGCUUUUUCUCGUUAGACGCUGAUUCGACGUCACUUCAAAGUUCUAAUGUUUCACGAAUUACUGUUUGCACUUUUUUGCUUUGCCGACGCACUUUUGAGAAUGCAAGAUAUGUCGCGACUGCGCUUUUCUGGAACAUUUGUUAGACGCUGAUUCGACGUCACUUCAAAUAAAAUUUUGAAUUUGCUGUACUAAUGUCUUCUUGUAUAUACUUAUGUUCACGCGAACUUACACGCACUCACAUGCAAGCAUAUAUGUUCUUAUGAUGAAUGCCGAAAAAAAAAAAAUUUUCUUUCACUGUUCUCGGUCGAGCCCCCGUGGGAUUUGCCACCACAACACGCUUCCAAUCUAAAUAAACGACAGUCUACACAGUAUUAGAAUUACACUUUAUUGUGGAACUUUUAAUCAAAUUACAGUUUGUUAAUUAUAGUUUUUUAAUUACAGUUUAUAUGAAAUUGCAACUAGCAAUGAUAUUGAAAAUAUUAUAUUAAAUUAAAGUACAUUGCGGAUUAAUUUCACAAAACACCGAAAAUAUUACUCUAAAAGUAUCGAAGAAACACGUUCCGCCGAUGACAUCAGUUUAAAAAGCUACUCCCUUCCUUCCUUUUCCUUCGUUAUCGGCAAAAUAUGCGCACAGUGAAAAACGUGGUAAAAACGCAGAAAUCAGCCAUCUUUGCUUUGUUUUCAUGUGAACAAUGUUGCCAUUGCCCAAUACACUUAUAUAGUUUUGAGCACAUCUUUGUUUUCAAUUACAACUUUUUACAAUAUAAAAUAUCAUAACUGAAAACAAACUAUUAAAAAUAGUUUAUAUAUUUAUAAAUAAUAGCAUUCGACUCUGAUUUUGAGUUAUUUUAAGAAAAUUUCAAACAUAUUGAACAGAUUGAAUUAUAAAAGUUGAUAAUUACUGCAGUAUAUCGAUAUUGGCAACCCUGCGUUGUGAGAGAGCAAUCAGCUGCGACGUUUGCUGCGGCAAAAUGCAAAUGUCGUGGAUUCUCACGUCAUCCCAUGUCAAAGAGAGAAGGGAGUAGCGUUUUUCACUGUGCAGUUACAUUGCGCGCCCAUAAUAUAGGUCGUGCCAGCUGACUCGGGCCACGGUUCUGAGUUUUUGACUGGUUAGCCUUUAACGACUGAUUCUUGCUUUUGUACUCUUUGUCUUUUUCAUAUACCCGUCUGCGUCGGCGGAGUUGCCACCUAUCUACUAUAUUCCCACAUGUAUGUAAUUUGAAGUAGUGAAUAGUAAUCAAUGAAACACUCAAUUCCGAAUUUUCUAAUUAUAAGUUAUUUUGCAUUUUAUACAACCAAUAUUUUUUGGACAACUUUUCCAUAAAUUUUAAGAAAAUAACACAAUGCAACCAUUUCCCGGGUAAAAAUCGCCAUCUUGGAUUCCAAUAGAAACUGAACCCCGGACUCCCCUUGACAUUUCUACAUGGGCACCUCUCAGCUGUGCUUCUGUUUACGUAGCAUCAGCAAAUUCUUUCUCUACUCCUUCUUUACGAUGAUUCAAGUUAUGCCGAAUUUGAACUAAAUAAUGUUUAGGGCUAAGUUCGGGUGCAACCGAACAUUUUAUACUCUUGCCACUGGCAAGAUUAAAGCCAGGAAAAUAUUUUAAAUAUUCUUAUAUAUUUAUAGAGUAAAGUCAGCUGGAUAUUCGAAAAUCCUGAUAUUACUUGUAUAGAGGCUAGUGCAAGUUUUUGCUCAAAUUUAUCUAUUUUUGGCAUAAAGAUAUACUGUUAUGAGUAAAACACGCUCUUCUAUUUUCGUAGAGAUAACUUACACAUUGGCUUAUAACAGUAUAUAUGCGGUACAAAGUUACACGGAAAUUCGAAAAUCAUUAUGUUAAGUAUAUUGGAACUUAGGAAAGUAUAGGUCCGAUUCAACCCAUUUUUGACAUACAAACAUACCAUUAUAAGAGAUUCAUAAAGCCUUUAUUUCAGUUAUAUAUAUCACACACUGACCGACACUUUCGAUCAAAAGUGAAUUAUAGUUACCGAGGUCUAAAUAUUCGGUACCUGGGGGCUUGAACAGUUUUUAUUGGAUUCAAAUAAUUUUUGGUCAUAAGGUGGAACACUCUUAUUAUUAGGGCAAUAUUUUACUCCGUUACUUUGAUUGUUUCUUGAUUUGUGUACUGGAAACUAAACGAACCAGGUGGAAUUUAAAAUUGUGCUGUAUGGGAAGUAGGCGAGGUUGUUGUCUGAUUUCGUUUAUUUUCACACUGUGACAUAAGAAUGUAAGAAUGGUUGGAUCCCGAGAUAUGGGAUUUCGCCAAAAAUGGAGCGGUGCCACGCUCAUCGUCCAAUUUUAACACCACCUCCUAUUAACCUCUUCCAUACCAUCUCGGCGGUAAGAUUAAAUAUUACUGUCGUAAUUAGUUAUUGAUUUUUCGCGCUUUUAGUAGUUUUUAACAGUACCCUUUUAUGGGCGAGAGCGGGGUUACCCUCCGAUUUCAUUUAUUUUCACACUGUCGAUAGAAGUUCUUAUAAGAUUUACACCUAGAAAAUUUAGUUGCUGUAGCUUAAGUGGUUUAGGAGUAAAGUACAUACAUACAUACAUAUAUUAAAAUUGUUAGAGGGCGGCGCUUCGCCAUUUUUCCAAAAAUGUUGCUACUGCGAUCCUCUGUACAGCUUUGUAUCUUAAUUUAGUGCUUAGUUAUGUUAUCUUAUGUAUAGGGUGGGCCAUAUAAAAUCUUAAAUUUAAAAAGUUAAUAAAAAAAACGGCUUGAUAUUUUUCAAAGGUCUAACAUUUAAUUAAAAGGUUGUUUUAUGAAAUUUAUUUGUGGAAAACAAUUUCGGACGAAUCCACACAAUUUUGGAGUACUUUCUCGAUGGUUUCAGGCCUUAUGGCAGCUACAGCAGGUUGAAUCUCGUACUUUAGAUCUUGAAUUGUUUCUGGAUGGUUGGCAUAACAUUUAUCUUUAACAGCUCCCUACCGAAAACAGUCCAACGGAGUUAAAUCGCAGCUUCUGGAAGGCCAAUUCACAUCACCUCUUUUGCUGAUUAUGCGAUUUUCGAAGAUAGGGCGUAAAAGAUUGAGUGUAGCGUUUGCUGUAUGGCACGUAGCGCCGUCCUGCUGGAACCAAAUGUUUUCCAGGUCUUCCUCUUCAAUUUGUCUUAAGAAAAAUUCGGUUAAAAUUGCGCGAUAUCGCUCACCAUUGAUGCCAACGAUCUGUGGAAAAGGUUUUCAAUAUUUCCCAGUUUUCUUCUAGUGAAUAGCGACCCAUUUCGUAAAUUUUACACUUUUUACUGAAUAUCUGUCACUUUCUGAAUGGUAUUUGACGUUUCUAAUGUCGAAAUAUAAAUAAUUCAAAUUUAAAACGUUAGAUGCCCCAACCAUUAUCUGCUUUCGGGUAAUGGCGAUUUGGGGGCGUAGCAGUAGUCCGAUUACGCCCAUAUACGAACUAAAUCAAGAUAUCUCAACAGACUGACCAUUUAUAUACAAUAUGUACAUAUGUAUAUACUGUAACUUGAGUAAAAAUUGAGAUAUCUUGACGAAACUUGGUAUGCAGGUUUCUUGGAACAAAAAAAGUUCGAGUUUGCUAAAUCAAUAACUAAAAUUUGCCGGCGAGAUGAUAUGAGAAAGCUUACUGGGAGCCGGCGAGAAAAUUGACGAUGGGCGUGGCGCCGACCACUUUUUGGUGAAAUCCCAUAUCUUGGGACCCGACUGACCGAUUUUGACAAAAUUUGGUACUUGGCAUUUUUUUCAUAUUCUUAUAUCGCGUUGCGGAAAUGAGCGAAAUCGCACGAUAGCCACGCCUAUUUCCCAUAUAGCAUGGAGUACUCCACCUUAUUACCAAAAAUUGUUCAAAACCAACAAACACUGUUCACGCCCCUAAGGAUAGUACUUCUCUAACAAUGGUAUGUCUGUAAGUCAAAAAUGGGUUAAAUCGAACUUCCGGGUGAAUUUGUAUCGCAUAUAUCGGCCAAUAUGUGGGUUAAGUAUAUCAAUGAAAAUGAGCUAGCGUAUUUUACUCAUAACAGUGUAUCUUUGUGCCAAAUAUAAAUAAAUUUGAGCGGAAACUUGACUUACCGCCUAUUUAACUAAUACAAUAUUAAGAUUUUCGAACAUCCGACUGACUUGAGAAAAAUAGAUAAAAUUUUGUUGAAAUUACCCCAACUUCCAUAUACUACAUAUAAUGGUUUCGUUUUUCUAACAAACGGUAUGUGCCUGUCAGCAUAUGAGUUAUAUACAUAUAGUAUGUACAUAUGUCAGAGAGCUGCAACAAGGGGCGAGUUCCAAAUUGCAUGUUGCUUUGUGUUGUUGCGGUAUAUAUACACAAUUUAUGCAACGUCAGUAAUGCAACCCUGCUGCUUUGUUUCAGAUUGCUUUGUGUCGUUUUGACAUUUAUGAUAAACUUAAUUGCAAAGCAACCGACAACAUAAUGGUGCGAAAUGUGAAUAUUCAACUCCUUAUGGGAAAUUUAUUGGAGUUAACUGAAAUCAGUCAAAACAAUUUAGCAAUCGAAAGAAAUUAUUUAAAAAAGAAAAAGAAAAUUGAACGUUGCUUUAUUCAAAGAAAAGAACAAUUGUUAGAAAAGUGCCUAAAUGCAAAAGCUUCUUUGAGACCAUAAAAAAGAUGCCUUCUGAUGUGUUUUAUUCUCAUUUCCGUAUGGAAACUGCAACAUUUGAGGUAAAGUAAAUUAUUCAAAAUAUGAUAAAUAUUUUUCAUACUUAAUCAUUUUUUUUAAGAAUUGUGCGAUGUAUUGAAGACCGCAUGGAGUACUCGUGAGCGACGUGGUCCAACUGGCAUAUCUUUAAAAAGAGCCCUAUAUUUAACAAUAUGGAAACUUGCUAAUCAAUGUAGUUUCUGCGAUGUCGGUGACAGAUUCAACUUCGGCCGUGGAACCACCUAUAGAGUUUUCAUUAAAACAACAAGGCUCUUUCACAAAGGAAAACAAUGGAGCUAUUCGAGGCAAGCAGAGCGCAUCCCUUUCCUUUUGUUUUGGGUUGUGUCUACGGGACCCACAUUCGUAUUCCACAACCUUCAACAGGCGGUAUAAGUUAUUAUAACAGAAAGGGCACAAGCUCAAUUGUUCUGCAGGCUGUUCCUGAUAGAGAACUGCGAUUCACCGACGCUUUUAUGGGAUACCCCGGCCGAUGCCACGAUGCUUUAGUAUGGCAGAACAGUCCACUUAAAAGGGCAAUUGUCAACAAUCAUAUUCCCUUUCCACCGGAAUGUCACCUUUUGGGUGAUGGGGCUUACCCUUUGGAAACAUAUUUGAUGGUUCCAUAUAAGGACAAUGGAUUUUUAACACCUGCACAAAUUAUAUUCAACAAUGUUUUAGCUUCCACAAGAGUGUGUGUGGAACAAGCUUUCGGUAUUUUGAAAACCAAGUUCCGUAUUUUAAACUAUGUUGAUGUACAAAACCCCAAAGUGGCUAAACAAAUAAUAAUGUCAUGUUUGGUACUCCAUAACUUUAUAAUUAACAAUGAAAAGCCUUCUGAAAUAGUGUACGAUGAAAGCGAACAUUUUCAUAUGUCCCUUAAUGCACAACAAUAUUUGGUUGCAGCAAGUGAUAAAAGAAAUUGGUUAACUACAUUAUUUUCUGCUUGAAGAACGCAAUAAAAACAUUUUU